rnacentral:rRNA from 1 species
AAUGAACGCUGGCGGUAGGCCUAACACAUGCAAGUCGAACGGCAGCACAGUAAGAGCUUGCUCUUACGGGUGGCGAGUGGCGGACGGGUGAGGAAUACAUCGGAAUCUACUUUUUCGUGGGGGAUAACGUAGGGAAACUUACGCUAAUACCGCAUACGACCUUCGGGUGAAAGCAGGGGAUCUUCGGACCUUGCGCGAUUGAAUGAGCCGAUGUCGGAUUAGCUAGUUGGCGGGGUAAAGGCCCACCAAGGCGACGAUCCGUAGCUGGUCUGAGAGGAUGAUCAGCCACACUGGAACUGAGACACGGUCCAGACUCCUACGGGAGGCAGCAGUGGGGAAUAUUGGACAAUGGGCGCAAGCCUGAUCCAGCCAUACCGCGUGGGUGAAGAAGGCCUUCGGGUUGUAAAGCCCUUUUGUUGGGAAAGAAAAGCAGCAGGUUAAUACCCCGCUGUUCUGACGGUACCCAAAGAAUAAGCACCGGCUAACUUCGUG